UACAGAGGUCUCAAGCGUUGUUCGGAUUCAUUGGGCGUAAAGCGCUGGUAGGUGGCUUGUUAAGUCGCGUGUGAAAUCUCCAGGCUCAACCUGGAAAGUGCGCGCGAAACUGGCGGGCUUGAGUGCCGGAGAGGGUCGCGGAAUUCCCAGUGUAGAGGUGAAAUUCGUAGAUAUUGGGAGGAACACCAGAGGCGAAGGCGGCGACCUGGAAGGUAACUGACACUGAGCAGCGAAAGCGUGGGGAGCAAACAGG
rnacentral:rRNA from 1 species